rnacentral:rRNA from 1 species
UACGUAGGGUGCAAGCGUUGUCCGGAAUUAUUGGGCGUAAAGAGCUCGUAGGCGGUCGGAUAAGUCUUGUGUGAAAUCUUCGGGCUCAACUCGAAGUCUGCACAGGAAACUAUCUGGCUUGAGUGUGGGAGAGGUGAGUGGAAUUCCUGGUGUAGCGGUGAAAUGCGUAGAUAUCAGGAGGAACACCUGUGGCGAAAGCGGCUCACUGGACCACAACUGACGCUGAGGCGCGAAAGCUAGGGGAGCAAACAGG